rnacentral:rRNA from 1 species
AGCAAACGCUGGCGGCAGGCCUAUCACAUGCAAGUCGAACGAACCCUUCGGGGUUAGUGGCGGACGGGUGAGUAACACGUGGGAACGUGCCUUUAGGUUCGGAAUAACUCAGGGAAACUUGUGCUAAUACCGAAUGUGCCCUUCGGGGGAAAGAUUUAUCGCCUUUAGAGCGGCCCGCGUCUGAUUAGCUAGUUGGUGAGGUAAUGGCUCACCAAGGCUACGAUCAGUAGCUGGUCUGAGAGGAUGACCAGCCACAUUGGGACUGAGACACGGCCCAAACUCCUACGGGAGGCAGCAGUGGGGAAUCUUGCGCAAUGGGCGAAAGCCUGACGCAGCCAUGCCGCGUGGAUGAUGAAGGUCUUAGGAUUGUAAAAUCCUUUCACCGGUGAAGAUAAUGACUGUAGCCGGAGAAGAAGCCCCGGCUAACUUCGUGCCAGCCGCCGCGGUAACAC